rnacentral:ncRNA from 2 species
ACCCCGCUUUAGGGGUAUUCUGAAAAGAAUUGAGAGAGUCCCUUUGAACCUGAUAUGGUUGAGACCGUCGUAGGGAAAAGUAGUAAUACGUCG